rnacentral:rRNA from 1 species
UUGGAGGGCAAGUCUGGUGCCAGCAGCCGCGGUAAUUCCAGCUCCAAUAGCGUAUAUUAAAGUUGUUGCAGUUAAAAAGCUCGUAGUUGAAUUUCGGGAUCAAUACGUCGGUCGUGCUUUUUUAGUACGCACUGGCGUCAUUGGUUUCUCCUUUCUGACGAACCAUGAUGUCAUUAAUUUGGUGUUAUGGGAAGUUAGGACUGUUACUUUGAAAAAAUUAGAGUGUUUAAAGCAGGCAUUAGCUUGAAUACAUUAGCGUGGAAUAAUGAAAUAGGACGUUCGAUCCUAUUUUGUUGGUUUCUAGGAUCAACGUAAUGAUUAAUAGGGAUAGUUGGGGGCAUUAAUAUUCAAUUGUCAGAGGUGAAAUUCUUGGAUUUAUUGAAGACUAACUACUGCGAAAGCAUUUGCCAAGGAUGUUUUCAUUAAUCAAGAACGAAAGUUAGGGGAUCGAAGACGAUCAGAUACCGUCGUAGUCUUAACCAUAAACUAUGCCGACUAGGGAUCGGAUGAUGUUAAUUUUUUAAUGACUCAUUCGGCGCCUUACGGGAAAC